GACGAACGCUGGCGGCGUGCUUAACACAUGCAAGUCGAACGGAAAGGCCCUGCUUUUGUGGGGUGCUCGAGUGGCGAACGGGUGAGUAACACGUGAGUAACCUGCCCUUGACUUUGGGAUAACUUCAGGAAACUGGGGCUAAUACCGGAUAGGAGCUCCUGCUGCAUGGUGGGGGUUGGAAAGUUUCGGCGGUUGGGGAUGGACUCGCGGCUUAUCAGCUUGUUGGUGGGGUAGUGGCUUACCAAGGCUUUGACGGGUAGCCGGCCUGAGAGGGUGACGGGCCAGAUUGGGACGGGAGGCAGCCCUAGGUACUACGGGGAGGAGGGGGUGGGAAUGAUGGAGCAAGGGCGGGAGGCUGAUGCAGGACCGCCGGGUGGGGGAUUGCGGGCUUAGGGUUGUAAACCGCUUUCGCCUGUGACGAAGCGUGAGUGACGGUAAUGGGUAAAGAAGCACCGGCUAACUACG
rnacentral:rRNA from 1 species